GGGACACGUGGUAUCCUGUCUGAAUAUGGGGGGACCAUCCUCCAAGGCUAAAUACUCCUGACUGACCGAUAGUGAACCAGUACCGUGAGGGAAAGGCGAAAAGAACCCCGGCGAGGGGAGUGAAAAAGAACCUGAAACCGUGUACGUACAAGCAGUGGGAGCCUCUUAAUGGGGUGACUGCGUACCUUUUGUAUAAUGGGUCAGCGACUUAUAUUCUGUAGCAAGGUUAACCGAAUAGGGGAGCCGAAGGGAAACCGAGUCUUAACUGGGCGUUAAGUUGCAGGGUAUAGACCCGAAACCCGGUGAUCUAGCCAUGGGCAGGUUGAAGGUUGGGUAACACUAACUGGAGGACCGAACCGACUAAUGUUGAAAAAUUAGCGGAUGACUUGUGGCUGGGGGUGAAAGGCCAAUCAAACCGGGAGAUAGCUGGUUCUCCCCGAAAGCUAUUUAGGUAGCGCCUCGUGAAUUCAUCUCCGGGGGUAGAGCACUGUUUCGGCAAGGGGGUCAUCCCGACUUACCAACCCGAUGCAAACUGCGAAUACCGGAGAAUGUUAUCACGGGAGACACACGGCGGGUGCUAACGUCCGUCGUGAAGAGGGAAACAACCCAGACCGCCAGCUAAGGUCCCAAAGUCAUGGUUAAGUGGGAAACGAUGUGGGAAGGCCCAGACAGCCAGGAUGUUGGCUUAGAAGCAGCCAUCAUUUAAAGAAAGCGUAAUAGCUCACUGGUCGAGUCGGCCUGCGCGGAAGAUGUAACGGGGCUAAACCAUGCACCGAAGCUGCGGCAGCGACACUAUGUGUUGUUGGGUAGGGGAGCGUUCUGUAAGCCUGUGAAGGUGUACUGUGAGGUAUGCUGGAGGUAUCAGAAGUGCGAAUGCUGACAUAAGUAACGAUAAAGCGGGUGAAAAGCCCGCUCGCCGGAAGACCAAGGGUUCCUGUCCAACGUUAAUCGGGGCAGGGUGAGUCGACCCCUAAGGCGAGGCCGAAAGGCGUAGUCGAUGGGAAACAGGUUAAUAUUCCUGUACUUGGUGUUACUGCGAAGGGGGGACGGAGAAGGCUAUGUUGGCCGGGCGACGGUUGUCCCGGUUUAAGCGUGUAGGCUGGUUUUCCAGGCAAAUCCGGAAAACCAAGGCUGAGGCGUGAUGACGAGGCACUACGGUGCUGAAGCAACAAAUGCCCUGCUUCCAGGAAAAGCCUCUAAGCAUCAGGUAACAUCAAAUCGUACCCCAAACCGACACAGGUGGUCAGGUAGAGAAUACCAAGGCGCUUGAGAGAACUCGGGUGAAGGAACUAGGCAAAAU
rnacentral:rRNA from 1 species